rnacentral:rRNA from 1 species
CCUACGGGGCGCUGCAGUGGGGAAUAUUGGACAAUGGGCGAAAGCCUGAUCCAGCCAUGCCGCGUGUGUGAAGAAGGCCUUCGGGUUGUAAAGCACUUUCAGUGGGGAAGAAAGCCUUGGGGCUAAUACCCUCGAGGAAGGACAUCACCCACAGAAGAAGCACCGGCUAACUCCGUGCCAGCAGCCGCGGUAAUACGGAGGGUGCGAGCGUUAAUCGGAAUUACUGGGCGUAAAGCGCGCGUAGGCGGUCUGAUAAGCCGGUUGUGAAAGCCCCGGGCUCAACCUGGGAACGGCAUCCGGAACUGUCAGGCUAGAGUGAAGGAGAGGAAGGUAGAAUUCCCGGUGUAGCGGUGAAAUGCGUAGAGAUCGGGAGGAAUACCAGUGGCGAAGGCGGCCUUCUGGACUGACACUGACGCUGAGGUGCGAAAGCGUGGGUAGCAAACAGGAUUAGAUACCCGGGUAGUC